CAAUAGCGUAUAUUAAAGUUGUUGCGGUUAAAAGCUCGUAGUUGGAUUUCUGCUGAGGACGACCGGUCCGCCUCUGGGUGAGUAUCUGGCUUGGCCUUGGCAUCUUCUUGGAGAACGUAGCUGCACUUGACUGUGUGGUGCGGUAUCCAGGACUUUUACUUUUGAGGAAAUUAGAGUGUUUCAAGCAGGCACACGCCUUGAAUACAUUAGCAUGGAAUAAUAGAAUAGGACUUUUGUCUCCUUUGUUGGUUUGAGGGACCGAAGUAAUGAUUAAUAGGGACAGUUGGGGCAUUAGUAUUUAAUUGUCAGAGGUGAAAUUCUCGGAUUUGUUAAAGACUAACUUAUGCGAAAGCAUUUGCCAAGGAUGUUUUCAUUAAUCAAGAACGAAAGUUAGGGGAUCAAAGACGAUCAGAU
rnacentral:rRNA from 1 species